AGUGAACGCUGGCGGUAGGCCUAACACAUGCAAGUCGAACGGCAGCACAGUAAGAGCUUGCUCUUACGGGUGGCGAGUGGCGGACGGGUGAGGAAUACAUCGGAAUCUACUUUUUCGUGGGGGAUAACGUAGGGAAACUUACGCUAAUACCGCAUACGACCUACGGGUGAAAGCAGGGGAUCUUCGGACCUUGCGCGAUUGAAUGAGCCGAUGUCGGAUUAGCUAGUUGGCGGGGUAAAGGCCCACCAAGGCGACGAUCCGUAGCUGGUCUGAGAGGAUGAUCAGCCACACUGGAACUGAGACACGGUCCAGACUCCUACGGGAGGCAGCAGUGGGGAAUAUUGGACAAUGGGCGCAAGCCUGAUCCAGCCAUACCGCGUGGGUGAAGAAGGCCUUCGGGUUGUAAAGCCCUUUUGUUGGGAAAGAAAAGCAGCAGGUUAAUACCCCGCUGUUCUGACGGUACCCAAAGAGUAAGCACCGGCUAACUUCGU
rnacentral:rRNA from 1 species